AUCUUACGAGAUCUAUAAUUGAUUUCAUCUCAGAGUCCAUAGACUCCGACUCAGUGUGGUUCACCGUUCACUCCCUCACCACCUCUCUCUUUUUCCGGCGACCUCUGUUCUCUCCGAAACCUCCGUCCGCCUGUGAAUGAUCGACGUCGGAUUCAAGCAUUUUCUUCCUCAAUUGAGCAUCGUCGGAUCUUGUAUCUCACUCGCAGCGAUUCGUGCAUAGCUUGACCUCCAUGGCGUCGAUUUCAAGUGGAUUCUUCUUAUAGAUGCUCCCGACUAGUGUGCAUCCUUCAUCUCGUUUCUUUGAGCUCCGGUGUGCCUCUCUCUCUCUCUCUCUCGUUUUACUCUCUCGGUUGCUUAUGUAGAAAAUGAUCCAGGUGGUGGAAGUGAUGUUGAAACAUCAGGAGGACCUGUACAUCCUCAAACCUUGAGGCUGUGAGCAGAACAUCACAGAGCAAGGAUGAUCUAGCUAGCAUGUUUUAUAUUUGACUAUUAGUUUAAUUAUACUAUGAUUUUGUAAUAUGAAGUUUAAUUGACAUAAUUGACUACAUGAAUGCUUCCUUUUAUUAUCCUUGAAUGAAAGGAUUUAAUUGAAACAUUGUC